rnacentral:rRNA from 1 species
AUUGAACGCUGGCGGCAGGCCUAACACAUGCAAGUCGAGCGGAUGAAGGGAGCUUGCUCCUGGAUUCAGCGGCGGACGGGUGAGUAAUGCCUAGGAAUCUGCCUGGUAGUGGGGGAUAACGUCCGGAAACGGGCGCUAAUACCGCAUACGUCCUGAGGGAGAAAGUGGGGGAUCUUCGGACCUCACGCUAUCAGAUGAGCCUAGGUCGGAUUAGCUAGUUGGUGGGGUAAAGGCCUACCAAGGCGACGAUCCGUAACUGGUCUGAGAGGAUGAUCAGUCACACUGGAACUGAGAAAAGGUCCAGACUCCUACGGGAGGCAGCAGUGGGGAAUAUUGGACAAUGGGCGAAAGCCUGAUCCAGCCAUGCCGCGUGUGUGAAGAAGGUCUUCGGAUUGUAAAGCACUUUAUGUUGGGAGGAAGGGCAGUAAGUUAAUACCUUGCUGUUUUGACGUUACCAACAGAAUAAGCACCGGCUAACUUCGUG